AUCGAUGCAUUCGAGUUACCAAUUCAGUACAUGACAGUGACAUUAGUUGAGAUAGUCAGCACAUUAGAUGACGUUUAACAAUAAUUCAUAUAACCUUCUGACAGCUUACUUAACUCUUCAAUUUGUUUAAUUUUAAAAAAUACAAAUUAAGUUGCAGAGAGGACCGGAAGAGGCAACCACUGCAUGUGAGGACAGACCCACGAUAGUUAGAAGGUACCCGCAAACGGAACUCUGCAGCAACUGUAACUGGCUGUUAAUUAUGGCAGACUUCACGGACAUAACGGGCGAUGAACAAGCCACAAAACUGUUCAAAUCAACCUUUCAGGCCCCCUUGCCUAUGUCGGGAUCCGCAAGCUCAAAACUUAGGGACCUUCCAGCGGGCAUGGACAACUUCUCGGCCCAUGGCAGCAAGCGCGAGGUAUCCAUGACCACAUGGAACACACAGUGUCACCAUUAUCAAACGCAUAUAGGGUACACAGUGACAGCAGUCGCCAAUGAAGAAGCAGUACGUGUACCCACUCGCCCUACCAUCCUGUUCGACGGAGCUCUCAAUCAAGUCGUGGCUAGGAUGACUUCGUUGAACAAAUUAAGUUGAAGCAUAAUACUUUAAUUAUAUUAAUAAUUGACUUUAAAAUAAGAAUUAAGUAUUGAAACACUUUAACGAAUGUGACAUUUCCGUUGCGAUAAUCAAUAUAAAUUUUAUUUUAUAAAGAUUGUUUUAAAAUUAUGUUUGUUUCACAAGAUUGUUGACUUCAUUUUAAACAGAAUUAUAUAAUAUACAAGACAAAGAAGUAUAGUCCUAAACUUGGAGCUAUUUAUACUCUGUAGUUCGCGUCCUGUCGUUUAGCCUGGCCGAAAUUCGAAAAGCCAAUUGUUUAAAAAAUAUUCAUAAUAGCGAACUCUAUUUCGAAUUUCGAUUUUCUAAAAAGAAAAGCAAUUAUUUUUAAUGGUGGUUUUAUAAUUUCUUAUACUUUAAAUUUUAUUAUAUUAAAUUACGUUGUAGCUGCGGCCAUAAUAUGCUUUCUUAUGUCGGAAUUAGAUAAAACGCAAGAUUUGGUUGAGGAGGGUAAUCAGUGUAGAAAGCGCUCUCAUACCAAUAGCGAACAUUGCACGAAAAGAGCAAAAUUAGACGACAUGAGUUCUAGUGAAUAGAAAGCGAGUUUUUCAAUUUUAAAUCCCAAUUCAAAUGGAAGUAGUAUAGCAUUAAAACUGGCCUCGUCAUUGAACAAGCCUGGGACGACUGCUAAGAAGCUGGUUAUGAAGAACUUUAAAAGUGUGUUUAUACUUGUGACCUGCAGACGUAUUUUCAUAACCUUUAUGACAUUUGGUUAAAUAAUAUGCAUAUGUUGCAGGUAAACCGAAUCUUCCAGAGAAUUAUCAAGAGACGACAUGGAGCAAAUUACGAGAGGCUGUAAUCGCCAUACAGACCUCAAAAUCCAUAGAUUAUUCGCUGGAAGAGCUAUACCAGGCAGUAGAAAAUAUGUGUAGUCAUAAGGUAAUCUAUUUGAGAUUUUCUGAAUAAAGUUUUGCUAUUCACCUCUUUACAUUGAUGACAUGGGACUGUUGAAAUAUUUUUAAUACUGUAAAUUAUAUUCUUCGAUCAAUAACAAUAAUUCUGGACAAUUGCUUACAAAAAUUUAAGUCACAAAUAAGGGGGUUAUUUAAAUCCAAAAUCCUUUUCUUUAUUAUCCUUAUUAUAUACCUGAACAAUCCGAUGAUGACAGAUGUUUAUUUACUUCUAUAUUCUUAACUAUUAAACCAAUAAAACGAUUAAAAUCCAAAUGAUUGUCUAGGUUUACCAUAGUAAAUUUUAAUGUCAAAAGCGACGUAUGAAUGUUACUCAACCCAACUAAAUUUUUCACUUUUAGAUGGCCUCACAGUUAUAAAGGACGUAUGAUAGAAAUAGAACCAAAGCGUGAUAAGACAAUGGUUGGGGAACUGCUGGAAUUCAAAGAACAGCUGCACAACAUCGUGGCUGGCUGCUUCCAAAGGCACGAUCUCUUCUUCUACUCCAUGAGAAAGGCCUUUGAGUUCUUUAUCAACUAGCGACAGAAUUAGCCUGCUGAACUUAUUGGUGAGAGAGCUCAUUGAAUGUUUAAAAAUCUUAACUUUAAAAAAAUUGUAUUUAUCCACUGUAACUAAAUACUUGCUCUAUUAAGGCCAUUCCUUCCAGAAUCUCUGCUAUUCAUAGACUGGGUGAGGUAGCGUUCAAGUAGUACGUCACGCAAUUUUCGGAGAUUAUCGACACCCCCGUAACGCGUCGUAACGUUUUUCGGUACCCAAUAGUAAACGUUUUGUGACCACCCAGUGACUCUUUAUACCUAAAAGUUACCAUUAUGUGGUGUAAGGAACUGUAAAGUGGAAAAUAAUAUUAACAAUAACGCGUAAUUCAAUUCCCGCCUCGCAUCGUUACGUUUUACAAAAGAAAAAAAAAUUCGUUACGUAAUACUCGAACGCUCCCUGAGCCACCAGACCGCUUUAGAGAAACAUAUUUUGUUAUAACGCAAAAAUAUAUUUUGGAAAAGAAAAUUUUAAUUAUAGUGACAGCUCCACUGCAUGUUCAUAGUAGUGUACUAUAGUGUAAUAUAGUUCAGCAGGCUUAUUCUGACGCUGGUUGAUAAAGAACUCAAAGGCCUACCUCAUGGAGUAGAGGAAGCGAUCGUUCUUUUGGAAGCAGGCAGUUACGAUGUUAUCCAGCUGCUCUUUGAAAGCCAGCAGUUCGCCAACCAUUGUCUUGUGACGCUCUGGUUCGAUUACUAUCAUACGUCCUUUAUAACUGUGAGGCCACCUAGACAAUCUUAAUUUACCAAUAACUUAAUAGUUAAGAAUAUAGAAGUAAAUAAAUAUCUUUCUUCAUCGGAUCGUUCAGGUAUAUAAUAAGGAUAAUAAAGAAAAGGAUUUUGGAUUUAAAUAACCCCCUUAUUUGUGACUUAAAUUUUUGGAAGCAAUUGUCCAGAAUUAUUGUUAUUGAUCGAAAAAUAUAAUUUACAGUAUUAAAAAUAUUUCAACAGUCCCAUGGCAUCAAUGUAAAGAGGUGAAUAGCAAAACUUUAUUCAGAAAAUCUCAAAUAGAUUACCUUAUGACUACACAUAUUUUCUACUGCCUGGUAUAGCUCUUCCAGCGAAUAAUCUAUUGAUUUUGAGGUCUGUAUGGCGAUUACAGCCUCUCGUAAUUUUCUCCACGUCGUCUCUUGGUAAUUCUCUGGAAGAUUCGGUUUACCUGCAACAUAUGCAUAUUAUGAUAAAGAACUCAAAGGCCUCCCUCAUGAAGUAGAGGAAUGGAAUGGAGAAGGAUCGUUCCUUUGGAAGCAGGCAGUUACGGUGUUAUCCAGCUGCUGUCUUGUCACGCUCUGGUUCGAUUACUAUCGUUGUGAACACUGGUUUGAUGCGCCAUUCCGUUGCUAUCCUGCGUACGCGAGUUUUGUAAUCCCGAGUUUUGAUAUUUUUUAACGACUUUUACUUGUUUUUGGACUCCGAUAUCUGCACAAUUAUCGACCUUCGCUUGUUUUUUAGAUUCUGAUAUCUGCACAAUUUAUCGACCUUGGCUUGUUUGUUGGAUUUAAGUCUGCAAUACGUGUUUUGACUUGACUUGUUAAAAUGGCGUCGUCUGCCGAAUCUGCCGCCGCUCCUAUUGAAAACGAAGCUGGGCCAUCCACUUCUCACUCUGUGGAGUCAGGCUCCAAUUUUGAAAUAGAUGACCUCUAUGUGUGCCGGCAUUUAUAUGUAGGCGAAAUAUUGCCUAUGUUCAAUUUACCUCGGCUUGUCAGGCAACUGGGAACCCGGGAGCAGUGUUUGGCUUUUGCUGAAGAGCAUGGGCUCAUUUUAGCUAACAAAAUGUGCCGUGUACACCGCCAGCUCAUGCGCCUGGAUUUGACGGCUAACAACACAGGUGGGGCCUUUGUAUGUAGCAGAGGGAGUUGUAGAGCCAAGUCCCAUACAUCAAGGGCCACAGGAACAUGGUUCGAGAAGUCAGGGUUUGCCAUUGCCACGGAUAUUUUAUUUGAUGUAGGUACUGUUUUGCACAUCGCAAGUCCCACGAAGAGGCCAUAUUCGAUGAUCCUCUUCGUGACGAAACAAAUAAAUGCUUGUCCAGGGCCACCAUCACAGACUGGUACAGUUAUUGCCGAGAAGUAAUUGUAAUUUAUUAUUUAGAAACUCAACAAAUAAAAGGAAAAAUAGGUGGCCCUGGAAAAAUAGUACAAAUUGACGAAAGCAAAUUCGUCCGGCGCAAAUAUAACAAAGGAAGACGAGUUGAAGAGCACUGGGUCCUAGGUAUGAUUGAAGAUGGAAGCGAGGACUUGCGCUUGGAGGUGUGCCCGGACAACGUGCGGUCUGCAGAGGUCCUGGUGCCCCUGAUAAAAAAGCACGUGGAAGUGGGCACCACCAAUCCACACAGAUUGCUGGCGUGCUUACGAUAGUCUGGCAGAGCACGGGUAUCACCAUAAAAAGGUCAAUCAUAGUGACCCGGAUAAUCCAUUCGUUGCAGCAGAUGGGACUCACACUCAGCGUAUUGAGUCCCAAUGGCGUGUAGUGAAAAGAUUUUUUUAAAAAGACUAUUAUAACCAUCCACAAAACUUUGGCGAUGUGAUUGUGGAGUAUUUGUGGAGAAGAAAUGUUAUGAAAAAUUAAAAAGAUCCGUUUAUGCAAUUAAUUGAGGCAAUUAAUUAUAUAUACAAACCUUAA